CAGUCGCCGCGGGAAUACAGAGGGUGCGAGCGUUAAUCGGAUUUACUGGGCGUAAAGCGUGCGUAGGCGGCUUUUUAAGUCGGAUGUGAAAUCCCUGAGCUUAACUUAGGAAUUGCAUUCGAUACUGGGAAGCUAGAGUAUGGGAGAGGAUGGUAGAAUUCCAGGUGUAGCGGUGAAAUGCGUAGAGAUCUGGAGGAAUACCGAUGGCGAAGGCAGCCAUCUGGCCUAAUACUGACGCUGAGGUACGAAAGCAUGGGGAGCAAACAGGAUUAGAUACCCGUGUAGUCCCUGCCUCUUAUAC
rnacentral:rRNA from 1 species